GUCAUAGUAUUGUUAGCAUACGAAUUUUACCAAAAAUCAAUAUUUCGUACACUGAGCGAUACUACGUAGCAUACACGGGACGGAUCGGCCUUAGGAGGAAAGUAUAAAAUAAGUUAAAAAAUCAACAAAUUUACAAUACCCCGAUAGCGGCUAUCAAAGACUGAUAACCCGACCUUCAACCGCACUCGAUGUUUCGUUUGGAAUUAUAAUUAUUCAUUAAUUAAAUAAAUUAAAUUUUUGAGUCGAUGGGCAGACCAGCGCACAUCAGCACACGAACCUAUAGACACCACAACGUGAUUACCGGCAGCUUGAGGCACAAGUUUAAAUUUUAAUCUUAUUGUAGACGGUGUAGCGACGGCAGAAAGUUGUUGUACCAUACCGUACGGAUUCCCAUUACGCAUUACCUACCUGAAAGAGACCCCGCGGCCGAUUACCUAGCCGUUGGUGUGAUCAAGUAACCGCUCUAACUGGGUUGCCAGUCGCAACCGCCAUUCGAGCAGCUGAGGACCGGACGAGAUGGAAACAGCUCACGAGACAGGCAACGGUCAAGUUUCAGGGACACAACCUUCAGCAAUGAAGAAAACGACGAAGAAGAAGAAGAAGAAAGUUCAAUUGUUUACGAAAUGUCGAAACUAUUAGAUUGUACCAUUUGUACAUGAUUUUCUAUUCCUUGAGGAGUUUUGGUAUUAAGAACCUUUAAAAAUGCAAUUCGAGA